rnacentral:rRNA from 1 species
UACAGAGGGGGCAAGCGUUAUUCGGAAUUAUUGGGCGUAACGGGCGCGUAGGCGGCCUCGCAAGUGGAAGGUGAAAUCCCUCGGCUUAACCGAGGAACUGCCCUCCAAACUGCGGUGCUUGAGGCCGGGAGAGGUGAGUGGAAUUCCCAGUGUAGCGGUGAAAUGCGUAGAUAUUGGGAGGAACACCAGUGGCGAAGGCGGCUCACUGGACCGGUGCUGACGCUGAGGAGCGAAAGCGUGGGGAGCGAACAGG